UACAGAGGGGGCAAGCGUUGUUCGGAAUUACUGGGCGUAAAGGGCGCGUAGGCGGCCUGCUAAGUCGAACGUGAAAUCCCCGGGCUUAACCCGGGAACUGCGUCCGAUACUGGUUGGCUUGAAUUCGGGAGAGGGAUGCGGAAUUCCAGGUGUAGCGGUGAAAUGCGUAGAUAUCUGGAGGAACACCGGUGGCGAAGGCGAGUCCCUGGAAAACUCCUGACACUGAGGCACGAAAGCUAGGGGAGCAAACAGG
rnacentral:rRNA from 1 species